UGCAAGGGUAAUGGUUGUAAUAGC
rnacentral:siRNA from 1 species